UACGGGGGGAGCAAGCGUUGUUCGGAUUUACUGGGCGUAAAGCGCGCGCAGGCGGUUUCUUAAGUCUGAUGUGAAAGCCCACGGCUCAACCGUGGAGGGUCAUUGGAAACUGGGGAACUUGAGUGCAGAAGAGAAAAGCGGAAUUCCACGUGUAGCGGUGAAAUGCGUAGAGAUGUGGAGGAACACCAGUGGCGAAGGCGGCUUUUUGGUCUGUAACUGACGCUGAGGCGCGAAAGCGUGGGGAGCAAACAGG
rnacentral:rRNA from 1 species